rnacentral:lncRNA from 1 species
UUAGGGAGCUAGCCAGCCAUUAGCGUGCCUGGAGGCCAUUGAGGGAGCCCACCUCCUCAAUUAGCUUUGGACUCUGUUGUGUUCCUGGUAACGCUAAUGUUAAAGGGAGGAGCUGGAGGGAGGAGGGCUCUGCGGGGGGGCGGGCAUUAAAGGAGAGCUGUUUUUCCAUGCUUAUUUUAUAGAUUUACUUUUUAUUUUUCUUUAUUUUUUUAAAAUUACCUCUCUCUCUCUCUCUCUCUCUCUCUCUCUCCUCACAUGUGAUCCGUAGUUCAUGUGUGGAGGUCAGAAGACUGUGGGAGGUAGCAGGCUCUUUCCUUUUGUUCCGUAGGUUCUGGACUAGAUCUCAGGUUAUCAGGCUUGGCGGCUGACACCUUUUACCCACUGAGCUAUGACAGCACAGGGUCUCACAGACCUGGCUGUCCUUGAACUCAGAGAUCUUCCUGCCUUGUACUUCCAGACCCCUGCCCCUUCCCUUGGCACAGCUCCUCGGUUGAACGUGCCCACUUUCUGAGUAGAAUUAAGUUUUUCUUUACUCUCGACCUCCCUUGCCCUUAUCUUCUGCCGUGUUUUAGUGAGCUGUGGUGGGGACGUCCUCUACAGAACCACAAAACCCAGUGUGUGCUUUGUGAGCCCUGCCACCCGACAGACCACACUGAAGGUCCAGCCCUGCACUGGGUGUGCCAGCUCCGCAGGCUGCUGGGGCUAUGCCACCGGACUCAAGGUAUUCAUUCACCUGAACCCACAAGAACAAUACCAGGUGUUCUGGCUGGUUUUGUGUCAACGUGAUGCAGGCGAGAAGGAGCCUCAGUUGAGGAAAUGCUUCCGUGAGGGUCAGCUGUAUUUUCUCAAUUAGUGAUUGAUGGGGGAGGUUGAUGGGCCUGUCUUAGUUACUGUUCUGUGGUUGUAAAGAGACACCAUAACCAAGGCAACUUAGAGAAGAAAGCAUUUGACUGGGGGCUUGCUUACAGUUCCAGAGGGUCAGUCCAUGACCACGGCUGGGAGCACGGCAGCAGGCAGGUGAGCGUGGUUCUGAAGCUGAGAGCUUACAUCAUGGUCCUUGGGCAGGAGCAAGGGCUAAUUGGGUCUGGUGUGAACUUUUGAAAUCUCAGCGCCCACAACCAGUGACCUACCUCCUAAUCACCCCUAAACAGUGCCAUCAACCUGGAACCAGAUAUUCAAAUAUACGAACCUGGGGGUGGGGUGCAUUCUGAUUCAAACCUGCACAAGGGUCCCAGAGUGCUAGGCUCUGUGGAAGAGCUUGCUGAGUGGUAGCGAGGCCAUUGCUCCCACUGCCCAGGACCCCUUCUGUCCUCGGUCUCCCCACUCUCCCAGGUUUCUCCACUGUCAGCCAGAGGCCUCAUCUUCUGAAGUCCAGUCUCCAGUUUGUCACUCAGCUCUUAGGUCAGCCACACCCUGGACCUUAGUUUUCUGUGAAGUCCCUGGUGGGGGAACCGUGCUCUCUGAAGGUCGAGACUGAUUUCAGAAGAAGGCUGUUUACCUCAAAGAGCCCAGUGCCCAGGCGGCUGCUGGGAGGAAGGGCGAUGGGGUGACAUUUCCCAGGCGGCUCCUACGGGAGACGUGAGUCUGUGGGUUUGGCUGCUGCGUUAGCUUCACGAUAACACUGGCCUAAACAGGAUGGAGUCUUAGUCUUCCUUCCCUCAUCGAGGGACUGUGCCAGCCAGGGUCUUUCACUGCAGCUCACUGGGCCCACAGACUGAGUGUGAAGUUUGUGUGAAACUUACUGGUUACUACCACCUUUAGAGAAGGACAAGACAAAAAGGUAUAUUCUUAUCCAUGAUGUCUGUUAGCAUCUUAAUGCCCAGCACUCAGUCAGGUGACUGCCCCAGAUUCAAGGGUUGCUGGGAAAUUGGGAGACCAAAACAGGAACAAUAAACCUUGCUGACUAAGGGUUCUGUUUGCAGUUAAGAAUAAGUUCUUGGGGGCUGGCCAGAUGGCUCAGCGGUUAAGAGCACUGACUGCUCUUCCUGAGGUCCUGAGUUCAAUUCCCUGAAUCACAAGGUGGCUCACAACCAUCUGUAAUGGGAUCUGGUGCCCUCUUCUGGUGUGUCUGAAGACAGCUACAGUGUACUCAUAUACAUAAAAUAGAUAAUUCUUUAAAAAAAAAAAGAAUUUCCCAUUUGUCCUGUGUAAAGUCCUUACAACUUAGGGUUUCUAUUUGUAAUUAAGAGUAAGUUCCUCUUUCUUAGAGUGGUUGUAACUGUUGUAACAGAUGUGUAUCCUUCCCCCUCUGCCUUCCCUUUCCUUGUUUUUUUCUAACAAUGUGUAACGGCUGACUCUCUUGCCCUGUGGGUACCUUAUUUCACAUAUAAAAAUGACCUCAAGAGGCUGGCAGGGACUGCUCUCCCAAACCCAGAGUUAGGGUGAGAAAUGGCUGGCCAGUUCUGGAUAUAUCCUAAAAUACAGCUUGUUUAAUUGG